UACAGAGGUCUCAAGCGUUAUUCGGAUUCAUUGGGCGUAAAGGGUGCGUAGGUGGCGAUGUAAGUCUGGUGUGAAAUCUCGGAGCUUAACUCCGAAACUGCAUUGGAUACUGCGUUGCUUGAGGAUUGUAGAGGAGAGUGGAAUUCACGGUGUAGCAGUGAAAUGCGUAGAUAUCAAGUGGAACACCAGUGGCGAAGGCGAGUCUCUGGACAUUUCCUGACGCUGAGGCACGAAAGCCAGGGGAGCAAACGGG
rnacentral:rRNA from 1 species